rnacentral:rRNA from 1 species
UCCAGACUCCUACGGGAGGCAGCAGUGGGGAAUAUUGCACAAUGGGGGAAACCCUGAUGCAGCAACGCCGCGUGAGUGAGGAAGUAUUUCGGUAUGUAAAGCUCUAUCAGCAGGGAAUAGAAAAGAAGGUACCUGAAAAAGAAGCCCCGGCUAACUACGUGCCAGCAGCCGCGGUAAUACGGAGGAUGCGAGCGUUAUCCGGAUUUAUUGGGUUUAAAGGGUGCGUAGGCGGACAGUCAAGUCAGCGGUAAAAAUGCGGGGCUCAACGCCGUACAGCCGUUGAAACUGGCAGUCUUGAGUGGGCGAGAAGUAUGCGGAAUGCGUGGUGUAGCGGUGAAAUGCAUAGAUAUCACGCAGAACCCCGAUUGCGAAGGCAGCAUGCCGGCGUCCGACUGACGCUGAAGCACGAAAGCGUGGGGAUCGAACAGGAUUAGAUACCCGCGUAAA